GAUUUCCGCACCUCAACGUACUGAAACGCCCGCUACCGGUUUCGAUGGUCCGACCGCCCGGGAGAAACGGCGACCGUGAGAAGCGCGUAGGUGGGGCCCACAAAACACCUCCCCAACCUCUCUCUGGAAGAAUAAAAUUAAAAAAAGAGGAGAUAAAAAGGCCCAGAUAGCCCCAAAGCCCAACCCCAGAGCUCCAGAUUUCGAGCUGAUUUCUGCAGAGAGAAUCGCCAAGGACGGCGAAGAGCAGCUCCACAGCAAGAAAGAGAGAGAGAGAGAGAUAAGAAAGAAAAGUGAGGAAAGGAAAAUCGUAAAUUCCAAUCCAGUCCUCCUCCUUCUAAGCCAAUCCGUAAGUUCACCUAUUUCUCCAAUCCCCCUUUUUUCUGCCCUUUCGCAAAUUUUCUUUUCUUUUCUUUUUCUUUUUUUCAAUCUCUCUUUCAUAGAAAAAUAAAAAAUUCCGUAAAAUACUAACAUUUGCCAAAAGACCUUUUUCUCCCUUCCCAAAAAAGAAAAGAAAGAAAAUAUAAGGAUUAUUAGAUUAUUAAAGAUUAAUUCAUCUUUUCCCGACGUUUUUCUCCUGAAAAGAAAAAAAUAGAGAUCUGGGUUUUCUCCGUAUUGUGAUUUCUUUUCUUUUGUUGGUGAAUUCGAUAUCUCAAGAGGAGUUUCGGAUCUUUCUUGGUUGAAAGAUUGCAUUUUUCGGUGGAAAGAUUGGAUUUUUCUCGGCUUUUUUCUUAUUUUUCUUUCUUGGUUUUAUUCGUUUGGAGAAUUUGAUAUCGGAAGGCUGUUUUGUGAUCUUGCUGAUUUAGGAAAAGAAAGCAAAAUUCCAAUCUGGAUCGUUGAUUUUUGUUCAGAUUCCGGUGGAAUCCAAGUAGCCAAAGCGUAGGGGGGGUUUUGUUAAUUAUUUUUGGCUUUUUCGUUGUGGAUUUUGGGUUUGGGGAGGAAGAAAAGGAGGAUUUGGGUUGGUUCGAUUCGUAAUUUGCCACGGUUCCCGGCCGAAUUCCGGAGACAUGUUGGAGGGUCAGUCCUGUCUGGUUUCGAGGGCAUUGCGGAGCUCCUGCGAGCAAGAAAGUAAGUGGGCUUACAUGAGUUAUCAAUUCACUGACUUUUCAUCCAAGGACAAGCGCCGCUUGAAUGAAGAGAUUGAAGAAGAGGAAGAAGAAGAUACCGGACGGAGAAGGCCAUCCAAGCGACCACAUCCACACGAUAGACGUGAAGAUGGCCCAGCCGGCGAUCCAGCAUCGUCCCCAGCUGAUGGAUCCGAUAGCCCGGCCCACAGCAGGGACCAAUCGGAUUCGAAUUCCCUCAUCCAACCCCUUGGCAGAGACAUCUCGAUCAACUGCCUGCUCCACUGCUCAAGAUCCGAUUAUGGGUCGCUCGCUUCCUUGAACCGGAGCUUCCGGAAUCUGAUUCGGGGUGGGGAGAUCUAUAAGCUUAGGCGGCAAGGGGGGAUAUCUGAGCACUGGGUCUACUUCUCUUGCAAUGUUCUCGAGUGGGAGGCGUUUGACCCCAGCCGCAGGCGUUGGAUGCAUUUGCCUCGGAUGCCAUCAAAUGAUUGCUUUAUGUGCUCGGAUAAGGAGUCAUUGGCGGUGGGCACGGAGCUCCUUGUUUUCGGAAAGGAGGUCACAUCCCACGUUAUAUUGAGGUAUAGCAUUUUGACAAACUCUUGGACUUCUGGCAUGAGGAUGAAUGCGCCCAGGUGCCUGUUUGGUUCUGCUAGCCUUGGAGAGAUUGCAAUUCUUGCGGGCGGUUGCGAUGCUCAGGGUAACAUCUUGAAUUCUGCAGAGCUUUUCAAUUCGGAGACUAGAACUUGGGUGACGUUGCCAAACAUGCAUAAGCCAAGGAAGAUGUGUUCGGGUGUUUUUAUGGAUGGGAAAUUUUACGUCAUCGGCGGUAAUGUCAGCAAUACAGAGUCGUAUACAUGCGGGGAAGAGUUUAAUUUGGAGACGAGGACUUGGGAAGUCAUCCCCAAUAUGUCCCCUGUGCGGAAUGGUGCGACUGAGGCACCCCCGUUGGUUGCAGUUGUGAAUAAUGAGCUGUAUGCUGCUGAUUAUGCAGAGAAGGAAUUGAGGAAGUAUGACAAGGACAAGAAGUUGUGGAUCACCCUGGGAAGAUUGCCCGAGAGAGCGGUUUCAAUGAACGGUUGGGGGCUCGCUUUUAGGGCCUGCGGGGAAAGGCUUAUAGUCAUUGGUGGGCCUAGGGGGUCGGGCGGUGGUGGCCUCAUAGAGCUCAAUUCAUGGGUUCCAAAUGACAGACCGCCUGAGUGGGACCUGCUCGCGAGUAAGCCUUCGGGGAGUUUCGUUUACAACUGCGCCGUAAUGGGCUGCUGAUAUUGAUUAAGAGUGGCACCUUGUGUACUGUAUGAUGUCUCGCCGGAGGGUGUACAAGAUUGGUCUUUUCUUCAAGGGCUUAGGAUUCUGGCUAAUGGAUGAAUUUCUAUAACACUCACUGGAAGCAGGAAGAUGAAAUAUUGCAACUUGAUAGGAGAGAGUGUAAUGUAUUUGAUGAAGAGAUAUUCAAAGUAACUUUGGAAAGAAACUGUGACAGAUGUAUGGGAUAAUAGACAAUGAUACAAGUCUUCGAGCGAAUUUCUUAACGAGUCCUUUUCCUCUUCGUGCUGUGCUUAGUUUUCUUGCUUUUCCUCUGUUUUUGGUACUCUUCUUGUAUUAGAGAACGCAGUGCUUCUUGGUGGUAGUAUAUAGAUCUGUUAGUAGCAUUGUCAUUCUUAUUCAUGAAGUCGAGCUGUACUCAAAAUGUAGAUAUAGUGAAUUUUACUUUAUUCGUCAAUCCAUAAUAAUUUAUGCUAUACAAAAACUGCCCAGGCUUCUUGUUUUGUUCAAAUCCUUAGCUAUCGAGCUUCUGUAUUGGUUUCUAGGAUUUGCCAGUGAGGACGAAGGACCAUGCAAUGUUAGUAGCUGUUAAUGUUAUGGUAUACUCCAAGAAAACAGCCCAAUCCAUGAAUUCAAUUCACCCAAAGGCGAAAGGAUAUAGAUGAUCUUAGGCCUUGCAUUAAUUAUAGAAGAUCAUAGUUCCGGUAAGCUCCGUAUCAUUGCUAGUCACCUUUGAUAUGACUGUAGGCUCCAUACUCAUAAUUUAAGAUGUCCCAUCAUAUCCUCACCAAUCCAUUCUGGAGUCCUUAUCCACAGUCACAUCCCUGUCAUCUGCGACAAAACAGCGGUUCCAAAUUCUAAAGGUCAAUUGCAUCUAAAGCAGGGAAAAAAUCAGCAGUCUGUUGCGCUUAGCUGUAUUCAAUUAUCAAUUAUAACAAUUGCCGACAUUUGAUUUGUGAUGGGAAAUGUCACUAACAGCAUCCAUCUUUGACUAAGAUGAAUGCACCAAUCUAUUAUUUUCUUUGACUGGUUC